rnacentral:rRNA from 1 species
GUGCCAGCAGCCGCGGUAAUACGGAGGGUGCGAGCGUUAAUCGGAAUUACUGGGCGUAAAGCGCAUGCAGGUGGUUUGUUAAGUCAGAUGUGAAAGCCCGGGGCUCAACCUCGGAAUUGCAUUUGAAACUGGCAGACUAGAGUACUGUAGAGGGGGGUAGAAUUUCAGGUGUAGCGGUGAAAUGCGUAGAGAUCUGAAGGAAUACCGGUGGCGAAGGCGGCCCCCUGGACAGAUACUGACACUCAGAUGCGAAAGCGUGGGGAGCAAAACAGGAUUAGAUACCCUGGUAGUCCACGCCGUAAACGAUGUCUACUUGGAGGUUGUGGCCUUGAGCCGUGGCUUUCGGAGCUAACGCGUUAAGUAGACCGCCUGGGGAGUACGGUCGCAAGAUUAAAACUCAAAUGAAUUGACGGGGGCCCGCACAAGCGGUGGAGCAUGUGGUUUAAUUCGAUGCAACGCGAAGAACCUUACCUACUCUUGACAUCCAGAGAACUUUCCAGAGAUGGAUUGGUGCCUUCGGGAACUCUGAGACAGGUGCUGCAUGGCUGUCGUCAGCUCGUGUUGUGAAAUGUUGGGUUAAGUCCCGCAACGAGCGCAACCCUUAUCCUUGUUUGCCAGCGAGUAAUGUCGGGAACUCCAGGGAGACUGCCGGUGAUAAACCGGAGGAAGGUGGGGACGACGUCAAGUCAUCAUGGCCCUUACGAGUAGGGCUACACACGUGCUACAAUGGCGCAUACAGAGGGCGGCCAACUUGCGAAAGUGAGCGAAUCCCAAAAAGUGCGUCGUAGUCCGGAUUGGAGUCUGCAACUCGACUCCAUGAAGUCGGAAUCGCUAGUAAUCGUG